AUGAACGCUAGCGGCAGGCUUAACACAUGCAAGUCGAGGGGUAGAAGGAGCUUGCUCCUUUGAGACCGGCGCACGGGUGCGUAACGCGUAUGCAAUCUACCUUUGCAGAGGGAUAGCCCAGAGAAAUUUGGAUUAAUACCUCAUAGUAUGUGAGGAUGGCAUCAUUUUCACAUUAAAGUCACAACGGCAAAAGAUGAGCAUGCGUCCCAUUAGCUAGUUGGUAAGGUAACGGCUUACCAAGGCUACGAUGGGUAGGGGGUCCUGAGAGGGAGAUCCCCCACACUGGUACUGAGACACGGACCAGACUCCUACGGGAGGCAGCAGUGAGGAAUAUUGGACAAUGGGCGCAAGCCUGAUCCAGCCAUGCCGCGUGCAGGAUGACGGUCCUAUGGAUUGUAAACUGCUUUAUACAGGAAGAAACACUCCGACGUGUCGGAGCUUGACGGUACUGUAAGAAUAAGGAUCGGCUAACUCCGUG
rnacentral:rRNA from 1 species